rnacentral:lncRNA from 1 species
GGAUUUCUGAGUUCGAGGACAGCCAGGGCUAUACAGAGAAACCCUGUCUCGAAAAACCAAAAAAAAAAAAAAAAAAAAAAAAAAAAAAAAAAGAAAAAAGAUAGUUGCAUCCCCAAACUCAAAGACUUUCCAGAAUGUAUCCUACAAACUUUCUGGAUUUCGCCCAAAUCUAGUUUCUAAAAAUACUUAGUGUUUAGUAUAGAGGAGGCCUCCAGGACCCCUCUUCUGUCAGGUUAUUCACAUUACAUAUAUUGAAAAUCACCCGUGCAUAUUUGUGUUCAUUUAUGUGACCUCCUGAGUUGCACAUGUCUCAUAGACAAUAACAUUAUAAUGGCACACAGGUAAUUUGUAGUUGCUUUGUGCUUCAGUGUUAGAUUGCAGACAUCUUCUCAGCAUGGUGUGCGGUCAUGAUAACUGGCAUUUAGAACCAAUAAGUGGCCCUGCACUUUGCUACGGAGUUCACAUCUAUUAACCAGACCUCGGGCACACAUCUAUAAUCCUAGCACUGGGGAAGCAGAGACAGGCAAAUCUCUGUGAGUUUGAGGACAGCCAGAGCUACAUAGUGAGACCCUAUAUCCCCC